rnacentral:rRNA from 1 species
ACUAUGCUUGGCCCUAAACCUCAGUAGUUAAACAACAAAACUACUCGCCAGAAUACUACGAGCAACGGCUUAAAACUCAAAGGACUUGACGGUGCUUUACACCCCCCUAGAGGAGCCUGUUCCAUAAUCGAUAAACCCCGAUCCACCCCACCCUCUCUUGCUCAGCCUAUAUACCGCCAUCUUCAGCAAACCCUGAUAAAGAUUACAAAGUGAGCGCAAACGCCUCCCCGCAAAAACGUUAGGUCAAGGUGUAGCCCAUGAGACGGUAAAAAAUGGGCUACAUUUUCUGUAUCAGAAAACCCACGAAAACUCUUAUGAAAUUUGAGAGUCCAAGGAGGAUUUAGCAGUAAAUUAAGAAUAGAGUGCUUAAUUGAACGAGGCCAUAAAGCGCGCACACACCGCCCGUCACUCCCCUCAAAUAUAUUCAAGGAACAUCUUAACUAAACACCCCGAUGUCUAUAUAGAGGGGAUAAGUCGUAACAUGGUAAGUGUACUGGAAGGUGCACUUGGACAAAU